CCUAAGCAUUGAGCGCGUCGGUUGACUACUUGUGAAAUGUCAUAAAAAUAAUAUAAUAAAAAGAAUGCCUGAAAUCCUUACAUAUUAGGUGUGGGAUAAGCCCAGAUCUUUCGGUGAUCCUUCCAGCGAUGUACAAUAGUGAAAUCAUUUGAAAACCAAAUCUGAGUAUAUGGAGAAGCUGUAAAUAUAUAAAAAUAUAUAAACGAUUCAACCGAUGCUGAGGAUCUAAGCCGAAAGCAACGCUGACAACUUGACGCGAUGAAUUUCAUAGAAAGCAUCAAAAUUGCCAAUAAACCAAUUUGUAAAGCGAACAAAAAAAAAAGUACAAAUCUGCGAGUUAUCGAAAUAUAGUGAAACUUAAAUACAACAUGUGACCAUUUGGAGAAAGCUUUGGCUGAGCGGAAGAUGGAUGGAAUCCAUUUGAAUCUACUGUACUUCUUGAACGAGUUGCGUAAAAAACUUUUCGUUAAUGGCAGCUGUUGGGACCAGUGUCGAAGAAAAUGAGAAUUCUAGAAUCUGGAGAAAUAAGUUGAUUUAACUGUCACAAGCUGGACCAUCGAAUGGUUGAUUAACCAAUUCUUGAUCGAACCGCAUCAAAAUUAUUGCCAAACGGAACAACGCUAGAAUUUAUAAUUGCCAAAGGAUCCAUAGUGCAUCGGAUGUGUGAUUGUAAGCCACCAACGAGACCCCAAGGAUCCAAGGAUGAGAACCGUCAGUGCAAAAAGCAUAUUGACAUUAUGCUUUUGUCGCCGCAAGUGGAUCCUAUGUCUGGGGAUAAAUUGAUUGAUUUAUGAUCAAUAUCUGGUGAGCAAAGAUGUUAUAUUCGUGCUUUUAUUAAUACCAUUAGAACAUUAGGUUUUAUUUUUUGGAAGUAGAUAAGAACUGUAUUCUGGGAUUAGAAGUCAGAAAAGUGAUGACUUGGUUGUUGUAGAUAGGAAUGUGGAGGUCAUCUACUCGCCGCUUCGGCUCACGUUCCCCGCCGCCGUUGGCACAAUUUAGUUGACUGAUAAGACUUGCUUGCUUUGA